UACGUAGGCAGCAAGCGUUGUUCGGAGUUACUGGGCGUAAAGGGUGUGUAGGCGGUUGGAUAAGUGUGGUGUGAAAUCUCCCGGCUCAACUGGGAGGGUGCGCUACAAACUGUCUGACUAGAGUGUGGGAUGGGUAAGUGGAAUUCCUGGUGUAGCGGUGGAAUGCGUAGAGAUCCGGAAGAACACCAGUGGCGAAGGCGGCCCGCUGGGCAGUGGCUGACGCUGAGGCGCGACAGCGUGGGGAGCAAACAGGG
rnacentral:rRNA from 1 species